rnacentral:rRNA from 1 species
CACGUAGGCGGCAUUGCAAGUCGGAUGUGAAAUCCCUCGGCUUAACCAAGGAAGUGCAUCCGAAACUGCUAUGCUUGAGUACGAAAGAGGAUCGCGGAAUUCCCGGUGUAGAGGUGAAAUUCGUAGAUAUCGGGAGGAACACCAGUGGCGAAGGCGGCGAUCUGGGUCGAUACUGACGCUGAGGUGCGAAAGCGUGGGAGCAAACA